UACGAAGGGGACUAGCGUUGUUCGGAUUUACUGGGCGUAAAGCGCACGUAGGCGGAUCGUUAAGUCGGGGGUGAAAUCCUGGAGCUCAACUCCAGAACUGCCUUCGAUACUGGCGAUCUUGAGUCCGGAAGAGGUGAGUGGAACUCCUAGUGUAGAGGUGGAAUUCGUAGAUAUUAGGAAGAACACCAGUGGCGAAGGCGGCCCACUGGUCCGGUACUGACGCUGAGGUGCGAAAGCGUGGGGAGCAAACAGG
rnacentral:rRNA from 1 species